rnacentral:rRNA from 1 species
UACGGAGGGAGCUAGCGUUGUUCGGAAUUACUGGGCGUAAAGCGCACGUAGGCGGCUUUGUAAGUUAGAGGUGAAAGCCCGAGGCUCAACCUCGGAACUGCCUUCGAUACUGCGGGUCUCGAGUCCGGGAGAGGUGAGUGGAAUUCCAGGUGUAGCGGUGAAAUGCGUAGAUAUCUGGAGGAACACCGACGGCGAAGGCAGCUCGCUGGGACGGUACUGACGCGUGAGGCGCGAAAGCGUGGGGAGCCGAACAGG